AUUGAACGCUGGCGGCAGGCCUAACACAUGCAAGUCGAGCGGAUGAAGGGAGCUUGCUCCUGGAUUCAGCGGCGGACGGGUGAGUAAUGCCUAGGAAUCUGCCUGGUAGUGGGGGAUAACGUCCGGAAACGGGCGCUAAUACCGCAUACGUCCUGAGGGAGAAAGUGGGGGAUCUUUGGACCUCACGCUAUCAGAUGAGCCUAGGUCGGAUUAGCUAGUUGGUGGGGUAAAGGCCUACCAAGGCGACGAUCCGUAACUGGUCUGAGAGGAUGAUCAGUCACACUGGAACUGAGACACGGUCCAGACUCCUACGGGGGGCAGCAGUGGGGAAUAUUGGACAAUGGGCGAAAGCCUGAUCCAGCCAUGCCGCGUGUGUGAAGAAGGUCUUCGGAUUGUAAAGCACUUUAAGUUGGGAGGAAGGGCAGUAAGUUAAUACCUUGCUGUUUUGACGUUACCAACAGAAUAAGCACCGGCUAACUUCGUG
rnacentral:rRNA from 1 species